AUUGAACGCUGGCGGCAGGCCUAACACAUGCAAGUCGAACGGUAACAGGAAGCUGCUUGCUGCUUCGCUGACGAGUGGCGGACGGGUGAGUAGUGUCUGGGAAACUGCCUGAUGGAGGGGGAUAACUACUGGAAACGGUAGCUAAUACCGCAUAACGUCGCAAGCACAAAGGGGGGGGCCUUAUGGCCUCUUGCGAGCGGAUGCGCCCAGCUGGGAAUCGCUAGUAGGUGGGGUAAGGGCUCACCUAGGCGGCGAUCCAUAGCUCGUGUGAGAGGAUGACCACCCACACUGGAACUGGACCACGGUCCAGGCUCCUACGGGAGGCAGCAGAGUGGAAUAUUGCACAGUGGGCGCGAGCCUGAUGCAGCCAUGCCGCGUGUAUGAAAACGGCCUUCGGGUUGUAAAGUCCUUUCAGCGGGGAGGAAGCGAGUAAAGUUAAUACCUUGGCUCAUUGACGUUACCCGCAGAAGAAGCACCGGCUAACUCCGUG
rnacentral:rRNA from 1 species